rnacentral:rRNA from 1 species
UACGAAGGGGGCUAGCGUUGCUCGGAAUCACUGGGCGUAAAGGGCGCGUAGGCGGAUCUUUAAGUCGGGGGUGAAAGCCCAGGGCUCAACCCUGGAAUUGCCUUCGAUACUGGAGAUCUUGAGACCGGAAGAGGUAAGUGGAACUGCGAGUGUAGAGGUGAAAUUCGUAGAUAUUCGGAAGAACACCAGUGGCGAAGGCGGCUCACUGGCCCGGUACUGACGCUGAGGUGCGAAAGCGUGGGGAGCGAACAGG